rnacentral:rRNA from 1 species
AACGUAGGUGGCGAGCGUUAUCCGGCUUUACUGGGCGUAAAGGGUGUGCAGGCGGGCUGUUAAGUGGUGUAUGAAAUCGCCGGGCUCAACCGGGCGAGGUUAUGCCAGACUGGCAGUCUAGAGAGCGAGAGAGGGACGUGGAAUUCCGGGUGUAGUGGUGAAAUGCGUAGAUAUCUGGAGGAACACCGGUGGCGAAGGCGGCAUCCUGGACCGGCAUUGACGCUGAGGCGCGAAAGCUAGGGGAGCAAACGGG